UACGUAGGGGGCAAGCGUUGUCCGGAAUCAUUGGGCGUAAAGCGCGCGUAGGCGGCCCGGUAAGUCCGUUGUGAAAGUCAAAGGCUCAACCCUUGAAUGCCGGUGGAUACUGUCGGGCUAGAGUCCGGAAGAGGCGAGUGGAAUUCCUGGUGUAGCGGUGAAAUGCGCAGAUAUCAGGAGGAACACCAAUGGCGAAGGCAGCUCGCUGGGACGGUACUGACGCUGAGGCGCGAAAGCGUGGGGAGCAAACAGG
rnacentral:rRNA from 1 species